UCACCGCUUGCGCGGGCAGUCUCAUUAGAGUCCCCAGCAUGACCUGAUGGCAACUAAUGAUAGGGGUUGCGCUCGUUACGGGACUUAACCCAACACCUCACGGCACGAGCUGACGACAGCCAUGCAGCACCUAGUUUCGUGCCCUUGCGGGAAGGCCUCUUUCAAGGCCGGUCACUAACUUUCAAGCCCGGGUAAGGUUCCUCGCGUAUCAUCGAAUUAAACCACAUGCUCCUCCGCUUGUGCGGGCCCCCGUCAAUUCCUUUGAGUUUCAAUCUUGCGACCGUACUUCCCAGGUGGAUAACUUAAUGCUUUCGCUUAGACGCUGACAGUAUAUCGCCAACAUCGAGUUAUCAACGUUUAGGGCGUGGACUAC
rnacentral:misc_RNA from 1 species